rnacentral:tRNA from 1 species
GGGGCGGUGGUCUAGUGGUCAUGUCGCUCUGUCUUGUAUCGUUAUCCGUACACCUAAAACCUAUAACCUCUACCUAAAGACAGAGAGGUCGGUGGUUCGAAUCCAUCCCGCUCCA